rnacentral:ncRNA from 1 species
UCAAAAGUGUUGAUUGGGACACGGAAAUUGCUUUUGUCAUUUCAGAGAGCAUUCGGUCGCUGUGAGAAUGUAUGCAAAAUUUUUUCUACCACCCAUGAGCGCCGCAGGGAAAUAUGCGGCCGUAAGUCGGCGUUAACGAUAUUGAGUGACACCAUUUCGGUGUAAUUCAGGUGGAACCGUGUAUUUUAUAUGCACCCUGAUU